CAGCAUAAUAAUACUUUCUAUCAGGUAUUUCAUACAUAAACAUUUCUCCCUCUUUCUUUUCUCUCGUUUCUCAAUGACAUAAUUAGCCACUGUAAAUGUUGUAAAUCACGGUUCGUGCCUAAUUAGUUUUGUUUCUUUGCGAUAAUAAUUCAGUGUAUAUAUUUAUACGCGAACGUGCAAGAUUAAUUUUAGUUCUAAAAAAUUUUAAUAUUUUAAGACAAAUAAAAACAGUAACGUAUACUGUUGUAUAAAAUAGUAUAAUUAAUUUUAAAUUGAAUCUAUCAAAACAUUUUUCGAGUUAGAAUGAAGCUAACGGUAAAUUUGGAUUUGCAAAAGGAACGCGAAAAAUGCACGUUUAACAUCGAGGAACUUACAAAUUUUUUGGAUGGAGGUGUUGAUAAAACUUUAAAUAGACGGAAAAUUGGUUUGUUAACUUUUUGAAUGACAACAGUAAAUGUAUACCAUGUUCAUUUAUAUUAUAUUAAAUAUAUUUUUAGAAUCAUUUUUUUUAUCCGACCCAAGUCUUAAUGAUGAAGUUCCUAUGGAAUACUUAAGUCACAAGGAACGUUAUGAACACGCUGUACGUAAGAGUUGUAUUUUAUUCAAAAAAGUUAACGACUGGCAACAAAAUAAUGAUAGCGGUAGCAACUCGAUGGAAAUUUACAAGUACUAAUCAAGAAAUUUUAUCUAAAUAAUUUAUUUACAGGUAAUUAAUAAUAAAAUUUCAGAUCUAUUUUAGGUGGAUCAGUUGGUAGUGCAAUAAUUAAAGACGGUACACCGUUUGCAGUACACUAUGUCAUGUUUAUACCUACAAUUAUGGGCCAGGGUACAGUGGAACAACAAGGUGAAUGGAUUGGUCGAGCUUUCAGCAACCAAAUUCUAGGCACUUAUGCUCAGGUAUUUUAAAAUUUGGAUUUUUUUGUUAUCUAUAGAAUAACUGUUUCUUGAUUUUAUGUGUAAUGUUUCAAAUUAACUUUCAUGCGGAGCACGCUAUUAUCUGAAACCAGAAUAGUUGCGCAUUGUAAUUUUUACAACAGUACUAAUAUGUUGUGAUAAUUAUAUCCAUACCCAUAUCAAUAUAUUUUCUGUAUUUUAAACUUUAAUUUAUAUAUUAUGUUUACAUAAUAUAAGCAAAAAAAAAAAAUGCAUCUAUUUUAAUAUCUUUUUAAUAUAUUAUAUCUUUUAGUAUAUUUUUUAUGUUUUUUUUUUUUAAAUUCAUAACAAAUUAUUAUUAUUUAUUGAAAAUGUAAUAAGUCAUAUUAUAAAAAUAUUUAGAAAAUUGACAUGAGUUUUAAUUGAAAAAAGAAAAAUAAUACACGCCAUACAUUAAAUUUUACAAAAUUGUUGUUUUACGUAAAUAGAUGACAUAAAAAAAAAGGUACACAGAAUGACGCGUUUUGUAUUUAAGCAACAAUACAAGAAGUUAAUGUUGAUUUGUUAGCAAUAAAGUGAAUUGAAAAACUUUAAAAAUAGUCUAAAACAGAGAUAAUAAGAUUUUAAAGUAAUACACAUGACUUAAAAAUGAAAUAAAUAAAUAAAUACAUAACUGUUAUAUUAUUUAUAACAACGUGCCCGCUUGAAGGUUAAGUUAUGAAUUAUCAUUUGAUUCAUUUUCCUAGUCUUAAUAAAUAAAUAGGUAAUUAUAAAUUUGAUCAAGGGAUAUAAUUAUUUUUCAAAACUAUAAUAUAUUAUAUCAAGAUUGACUAUUUGUAAAAGUUUAAAGCCUUAGAAUUAUAAAUUUAAUAUCAAAAUUAACAAAAUAUAUUUCGUUUGAAACUAUUAUAUAUAUAUAUAUAUAUAUAUAUAUAUUUGUUUAAUACUAUUUCUUAUUAUCAUGCUGCAUUAUAAAAAUUUUAGGAUAUUUAUCUGAUUCAAAAACAUAUUUACCUAUAGACAAUAACAACAGUGUAAAACAAAUAGUUUCAGAGAAACUAAAUUGUAUUUUUAAAUGAUUUUUUAUAGACUGAACUUGGUCAUGGGACAUUUAUUCGUGGUUUAGAAACAACUUGUACUUAUGAUCCAGCUACAGAAGAAUUUGUUUUAAAUAGUCCCACACUGACGUCAUAUAAAUGGUGGCCUGGUGGACGUGAGUUUUUGUUCUGAUGUGUUGAAUAGAAAAUGUCAAACAGUAAUAUCUAAUUAUGUUGAUAUUUUAGUUGGCCAUACCUGUGAUUAUGCAGUCGUGAUGGCUCAGCUUUAUAGCCAAGGCAAGUGUCAUGGUAUACACCCAUUUAUAGUUCAACUUAGAGAUGAAGAAACAUGGAAACCAAUGCCUGGUAACAUAAUAUAAUAAGUAAUUACAAAUUAAAAUAAACUUUAAUAUUAUUAAAUAUAGUGAAUGUUAUUAGGUAUAAAAAUUGGUGAGAUAGGUAGUAAAAUGGGGAUGAAUUCUACUAAUAAUGGGUAUUUAGCAUUUGAUAAAGUAAGAAUUCCUAGAAUGCAAAUGCUGAUGAAAAAUGCCAAAGUGCUUAAGGUAAAUAAUUAUUUUAUUUCUAUCUACAAACCUAACAUUUAUAAUAUUAUACAAUAUCAAAACUAACCACUUAUAGAUUAUAAAUAUGUUUUUAAAAAGUUUUAAGAGAAAUAAUGUUUCAAGGUAUACUUUUAUGAAAUUCCUAAAUAAAAAUAAUAUAAUAUAAAUUUUGAUCAACAUAAUGUAAAACAUUCAACAUUAAUUUAUUUUAGAACUGUUUUUAAGAUUUUCUGUGGUUAAAAAGGUGUGGGCUGGUCAUGGCGUGUAGAGGGUGCUUUAAUUAGACGGGUACUCAUUAACUAACUAGCCAAAUAAAAAAACAAUUUAUGGGAAGACCACGGCAAUUGUGGAUGAACUGAGUAAAAUAUUACUUAAAGUGAUUAUAAAUCUAGUGAGUAUUUAAGAUGCAGAAAAUCGAGAAAUUUGGAGAUCUCUGGUAAAAAUUGCAAAGUGUUUGAAUGACGCGUAAAGUAAAAAAAAAAAUUAUUUUUCAAAUGUUCUAAACAACAAAAUUUGAAAAAAGUUAAUAUUUUACAAUAUGAGUAUCAUAUGUUAUGUUGAUCACUGUAUAUAAUAAAUUAUUUUUCAAGGAUGGCACAUAUCAAAAAUCAGUAAACGACAAAUUAACUUAUGGUACUAUGAUAUUUGUACGCGUAGUAAUUGUGAGAGAUUUAGUAACCAGUUAUAUAUCCAAAGCUGCAGUAAUAGCAACUAGAUAUAGUUGUGUUAGAAGACAAUCGGAAAUUAAACCCGGGUAAAUGAUUUUGUAUGAAAACAGUAAAAAUUUAAAUUUUGCUUAACUAAUUUGUUAAAUUAUUAAUAAUAUGUUAUAUUAGUGCGGGUGAAUCUCAAAUUUUAGAUUAUCAAACACAACAAUACAAAAUUUUUCCAGCCAUAGCUAUGAGUAUAGCUUAUAAAUGUGCAGCGUCUUGGCUUUGGGAUGUUUACAAUGAUGUAACUUCAAAGUUAGAAGAAGGAGAUUUAGAACUGUUACCAGAGGUAUAUUUAGUGAGAUAGUCUUGAAAAAAUUUUGAAAAGCUUUUAAUUUAUAGUUACAUGCAAUGGCAUGCUGUUUAAAAGCUGUUAGUACAGCUGAUGCUGCUGUAGCUGUAACAACAUGCCGUUUAGCGUGUGGAGGUCAUGGAUAUAUGAAUUGCAGUAAUUUUCCAAAUACUUAUGCAAUGACAUCUGCUACUGAAACAUAUGAAGGAGAAAACACAGUACUUCUUUUGCAAACAGCGAGGUAAUGAAUUUGCGUUUAAAUAAU
rnacentral:lncRNA from 1 species